rnacentral:rRNA from 1 species
GACGGAGGAUGCAAGCGUUAAUCGGAAUUACUGGGCGUAAAGCGUGCGCAGGCGGUUUUGUAAGUCUGACGUGAAAGCCCCGGGCUUAACCUGGGAAUUGCGUUGGAGACUGCAAGGCUUGAAUCUGGCAGAGGGGGGUAGAAUUCCACGUGUAGCAGUGAAAUGCGUAGAGAUGUGGAGGAACACCGAUGGCGAAGGCAGCCCCCUGGGUCAAGAUUGACGCUCAUGCACGAAAGCGUGGGGAGCAAACAGG